rnacentral:rRNA from 1 species
UACGGAGGGUCCAAGCGUUGUCCGGAUUUAUUGGGUGUAAAGGGUGUGUAGGCGGACUUGUAAGUCAGAGGUGAAAGGCUACGGCUUAACCGUGGAAUUGCCUUUGAUACUGCAGGUCUUGAGUACCGGAGAGGCCAUUAGAAUUCGUGGUGUAGCGGUGAAAUGCGUAGAUAUCACGAGGAAUACCGGAAGCGUAGGCGAAUGGCUGGACGGCUACUGACGCUGAGGCACGAAAGCGUGGGGAGCAAAC